GAUACUCAGGUUGAAGAUUGUGAAUCUCAGGUUACAGAUUGAAGAUUGAAAAACUCGUGAAUCUCAGGUAGCAGAUUGAAGAAUCAAAUUGUAGAAUGAAAAAGAUGAAUUGCAUAAUGAAGAAACAAAUUGCAGCAGAAUGAAAGAUUUCUUAUGCAGAAUGAAGAAAACCAUAUGCAGAAUGAAAAAAAACUCUGAUGCAGAAUGAAGAAUUUUAGAUGCAGAAUGAAAAAUCUCUGAUGCAGAAUGAAGAAUUUUAGAUGCGGAAUAAAAAAU
rnacentral:lncRNA from 1 species